rnacentral:rRNA from 1 species
GACGAACGCUGGCGGCGUGCCUAAUACAUGCAAGUAGAACGCUGAAGGAGGAGCUUGCUUCUCUGGAUGAGUUGCGAACGGGUGAGUAACGCGUAGGUAACCUGCCUGGUAGCGGGGGAUAACUAUUGGAAACGAUAGCUAAUACCGCAUAAUAGUAGAUGUUGCAUGACAUUUGCCUAAAAGGUGCAAUUGCAUCACUACCAGAUGGACCUGCGUUGUAUUAGCUAGUUGGUGGGGUAACGGCUCACCAAGGCGACGAUACAUAGCCGACCUGAGAGGGGGUCGGCCACACUGGGAACGAGAAACGGGCCAAGACUCUUCCGGGAGGAGGCGGAGGGGAACUUCCGGCAUGGGCGGAAGGCUUAACGGACAAAGCCGCGUGGGGGAAGAAGGUUUUCGGGUCGUAAAGCUUUGGUGUUAAGGGAGAACGAGUGUGGGAGUGGAAAGUUCACACCGUGACGGUAUCUUACCAGAAAGGGACGGCUAACUACGUG